GCAAUGAGUGGCGAACGGGUGAGUAACACGUGGGAAACCUACCUCUUAGCAGGGGAUAACAUUUGGAAACAAAUGCUAAUACCGUAUAAUAAUUAAAACCGCAUGGUUUUAGUUUAAAAGAUGGUCUUGCUAUCACUAAGAGAUGGUCCCGCGGUGUAUUAGUUAGUUGGUGAGGUAAUGGCUCACCAAGACAAUGAUACAUAGCCGAGUUGAGAGACUGACCGGCCACAAUGGGACUGAGACACGGCCCAUACUCCUACGGGAGGCAGCAGUAGGGAAUCUUCCACAAUGGACGAAAGUCUGAUGGAGCAACGCCGCGUGUGUGAUGAAGGGUUUCGGCUCGUAAAACACUGUUGUAAGAGAAGAAUGACAUUGAGAGUAACUGUUCAAUGUGUGACGGUAUCUUACCAGAAAGGAACGGCUAAAUACGUG
rnacentral:rRNA from 1 species